rnacentral:rRNA from 1 species
UACAGAGGGUGCGAGCGUUAUCCGGAAUCACUGGGUUUAAAGGGUGCGUAGGCGGUGGUGUAAGUCAGUUGUGAAAUGCCCCGGCUUAACCGGCGGAACUGCGAUUGAUACUGCAUCCCUUGAAUCAGGAUGAGGUAGGCGGAAUGUGGCAUGUAGCGGUGAAAUGCUUAGAUAUGCCAUAGAACACCGAUUGCGAAGGCAGCUUGCUGGGCCUGAAUUGACGCUGAGGCACGAAAGCGUGGGGAGCAAACAGG